GAUGAACGCUGGCGGCGUGCCUAAUACAUGCGAGUCGAGCGAACAGACGAGGAGCUUGCUCCUCUGACGUUAGCGGCGGACGGGUGAGUAACACGUGGAUAACCUACUUAUAAGACUGGGAUAACUUCGGGAAACCGGAGCUAAUACCGGAUAACAUGUUGAACCGCAUGGUUCAACAGUGAAAGACGGUUUUGCUGUCACUUAUAGAUGGAUCCGCGUCGCAUUAGCUAGUUGGUAAGGUAACGGCUUACCAAGGCAACGAUGCGUAGCCGACCUGAGAGGGUGAUCGGCCACACUGGAACUGAGACACGGUCCAGACUCCUACGGGAGGCAGCAGUAGGGAAUCUUCCGCAAUGGGCGAAAGCCUGACGGAGCAACGCCGCGUGAGUGAAGAAGGUCUUCGGAUCGUAAAACUCUGUUAUUAGGGAAGAACAAAUGUGUAAGUAACUAUGCACGUCUUGACGGUACCUAAUCAGAAAGCCACGGCUAACUACGUG
rnacentral:rRNA from 1 species